GGAUCCAGACUUUGAUCCUGGCUCAGAACGAACGCUGGCGGCAGGCCUAACACAUGCAAGUCGAGCGAGACCUUCGGGUCUAGCGGCGGACGGGUGAGUAACGCGUGGGAACGUACCCUUUUCUGCGGAAUAGCCUCGGGAAACUGAGAGUAAUACCGCAUACGCCCUUUUGGGGAAAGAUUUAUCGGAGAAGGAUCGGCCCGCGUUGGAUUAGGUAGUUGGUGGGGUAAUGGCCUACCAAGCCGACGAUCCAUAGCUGGUUUGAGAGGAUGAUCAGCCACACUGGGACUGAGACACGGCCCAGACUCCUACGGGAGGCAGCAGUGGGGAAUCUUAGACAAUGGGGGCAACCCUGAUCUAGCCAUGCCGCGUGAGUGAUGAAGGCCUUAGGGUUGUAAAGCUCUCUCAGCUGGGAAGAUAAUGACGGUACCAGCAGAAGAAGCCCCGGCUAACUCCGUGCCAGCAGCCGCGGUAAU
rnacentral:rRNA from 1 species